rnacentral:misc_RNA from 1 species
GAUGAAGAACGUAGCGGAAUGCGAUAAGUAAUGUGAAUUGCAGAAUUCAGUGAAUCAUCGAAUCUUUGAACGCACAUUGCGCCCGCCAGUAUUCUGGCGGGCAUGCCUGUUCGAGCGUCAUUUCAACCAUCAAGCCCCAGGCUUGUGUUGGGGACCUGCGGCUGCCGCAGGCCCUGAAAACCAGUGGCGGGCUCGCUGUCACACCGGGCGUAGUAGAUUUUAUCUCGCUCAGGGCGUGCUGCGGGUUCCGGCCGUUAAAAAGCCUUUUUUACCCAAGGUUGACCUCGGAUCAGGUAGGAAGACCCGCUGAACUUAAGCAUAUCAAUAAGCGGAGGA